CGGCAACAGCUCAAAUUUGAAAUCUGGCCCCUCGGGGUCCGAGUUGUAAUUUGUAGAGGAUGCUUUUGGCGCGGUGCCUUCCGAGUUCCCUGGAACGGGACGCCAUAGAGGGUGAGAGCCCCGUCUGGUCGGACACCAAGCCUCUGUAAAGCUCCUUCGAC
rnacentral:rRNA from 1 species